rnacentral:rRNA from 1 species
UACGAGGGGGGCGAGCGUUGUUCGGAAUUAUUGGGCGUAAAGGGUGCGUAGGCGGUUUGGUAAGUCUUGUGUGAAAUCUACAGGCUCAACUUGUAGUCUGCACGAGAAACUGCCGGGCUUGAGUAUGGGAGAGGUGAGUGGAAUUCCUGGUGUAGCGGUGAAAUGCGUAGAUAUCGAUCGGAACACCCAUGGCGAAGGCAGCUCGCUGGCCUAAAACUGACGCUGAGGCGCGAAAGCGUGGGGAGCAAACAGG